UACGUAGGGGGCAAGCGUUGUCCGGAAUCAUUGGGCGUAAAGAGCGUGUAGGCGGCUCGAUAAGUCUGCUGUGAAAGUCCAGGGCUCAACCCUGGAAGGCCGGUGGAAACUGUCGGGCUAGAGUCCGGAAGAGGCGAGUGGAAUUCCCGGUGUAGCGGUGAAAUGCGCAGAUAUCAGGAAGAACACCUAUGGCGAAGGCAGCUCUCUGGGACGGUACUGACGCUGAGACGCGAAAGCGUGGGGAGCGAACAGG
rnacentral:rRNA from 1 species